GUGGGUAUAGCUCAGUUGGUCAGAGCGCUGGGUUGUGGUCCCGGAGGUCGGGGGUUCGAGCCCCCUUACCCACC
rnacentral:tRNA from 3 species